rnacentral:lncRNA from 1 species
AAAAUUAAUACAGAAAAUAAUCUUAACCUAAUCAAAUAAAUUUAAUCCACUCUAAGAAAAGAAUAUCAUUGAUCCCGUCAAGUUCUAUCGCAACCAACUUAGUAUUAAUUCAUUCCUUUCAUAGUUUUUCUAUACAUCUGCAAAUAAAAUAUAAUAAAUGAUUAAAUCCAAUAUAAAACAUUGCUUUGGAUAUUUUUACGGUACAAUAAAUAUAAUAAAAUUAAUGUUUGCA